UUCACAUAUUAAACUUAAAAAUUCCCAACUUUAAUAUGAGCGGGUGUCACUGGCAUCAAAUUCAUAAAUUUUUUAAGCAACUAAAUUUUUAAAGCAAAAAAAUUGUUGUUGCGUCAAAAUUCUAAUACAAAUCAUCUAAUCAUUUCUCAACUCGUAAUGCCAUAUUUAGCAUUUCGCAUGUCAAAAGCAGGUAAGCGACUGUCAAGUGAACCAACAAAUAGUUAGCAAUUUGUUUGUCAUAAAUUACGCAACGUAUACUUGCUAAGCGCGCAGCUGCACGCACAUUAGUGCUACCAAAAUACACAAACCACUAAAUGGACAAGCUGUACGGGCCUAAACCGCUUGUCAUUUCAUUUGUCAUGCACCAAAACGCACAACUCAAACGCUGUAUAUAAAUUAUGUAUCACCUUAAAAGCUGAGCUGAGCCGAGGAUGAACGCAUAAAUGCCAAUCGCUCAUACUACUUUACAACAAAAACAAUAACAACAACAGCAAUACAAAUGAAGAGCAUAAAUGAAAAACUAAAAGAUGCCUAGGGUCCAGCAGACACAUUCUUUCAGACAGCAUCCACUUAGUACGCGUCGCCAAGCCGAGACAGCUGUCAAGGCAUCAAGCACAAUAACAACACACACACACUCGCCGACCCAAAGUUGUUGAAAAAUGAAGUAAUUGUGAAGAAUGGUGCGGCAACAAACUGGGCUGGCCAGACAGUGAGGCGGUGGAGCUGGAUAGUAGAGAACUGUCGAAACAAUAAUAACAACAGCAACGAUGGAGUACGCACGCAUAGGAAGUCACUCAGCCAUCACACUCACACCAACACCAUCUCAUACCAGCGGAGCGCCUUCAAAUGUCAAAGCGUACGUUGUUGUUGCACGCAUGCGUCCACAAAGUGAUCACUCAUGUUUUGGGUUCGCCGUUGUAGCGCGGAAUGGUGGGGAAUUCGGUGGGGCACACUCACAGUCAAGCGCGUGGAGUGAGCAGCAACACGUACGCACCAUAAACGAUACAGGAAACUGAUGAAUGCCGCGUACAUAGACUCCCCAUGCAUGGCGGCAUUCCAUCACACAGGCCCUAUUGCAACUCGCCUGAAAUGGCUUUUGGAAUAGCUGAUGAAAUGCGCAUGAAUUAAAUAUGAUGUAUUGCCGGGAUAUUGGCUCUGGCUUUGGCUAGGCCGUUGGAUUAUGGCUGGUGUGCUCUGGCGUUGAAGAAAAAUGGAUUUACAAUGUUGCCGAUUUAAAUAGGUUGCAAGUUCGUAGUGUGUGGAGUGGCAAAGGAGCGGAAAAAUUUAUAUUUAUCAAAGGCGGUUGUGUGUGUGCAUCACUCAUGUGCUGUGUCCAUUAUUGGUUAUGUCAAAGUGGAGAAGUUAAUAGAUUUUUGUAAUUUCGGAAAUAUAUAAGCUGUUACGGUACUUUCACAGCGGAGGUAGAGAAUUUAAUUUGUAGUUUGAUUAAUAGUAAAAUUGUUUUCUGUGGAAUGUGCUAUUAUGUACUAUUUCAAAAUUGAAACAACUUGAAAGUCAUUAAAAUGAAAAUGAAAAUC